GCCGGGGCCAGGAUCACCUUCCACAGACUUCAGGACCUCAUUUCCGGAGCCAUCGUGACAACUCCACCUGUAGGCUGGCUGUGUUCUAGGGCAGAGAAUCUGAGACCAGUGUCUUCAAAGCCUCAGGAAUUGAACAAUUCUGCAUUCAUGGAAGGCCUAACAUGCAUCCCAUGCACCUUCAGAUGGCAAUGUAGUUUAUAUUAGCCUCUCCUAGAGGUAGAGGGACAUCUGGGGUUUUCAACCUAUGUAUUGAGAUCCAGUUCCUAGAACCUACAAUUCGCUCUUUUUGAGGAUUAUUGAAUUUGAGAUAUUUGUAUGAUGAUAGAAUGAUCAGAUCCUUUUGCAGAUCCGUGUACUACUGGUUUGUAUACAUCAGACGUCACAACAGAGUGGUACAUGCUACAACAGAUACUAGAACAUGUCCUAAGCCUGAAAAAAC